rnacentral:ncRNA from 1 species
GUGAUCCUCACUGGAGAGAGGUUGGCCUUCGAGCCAACCCACCGAAGGGGCAAGCCCGCGCCGCCAUGGUCAUGCCGUGGCGAUGGGUCAAUCUCUCAGGUAAAGCGGACAGCGAGGGCAGC